rnacentral:misc_RNA from 3 species
AACGCACAUUGCGCCCCGUGGUAUUCCGCGGGGCAUGCCUGUUCGAGCGUCAUUUCAACCCAUCAAGCUUCGGCUUGGUCUUGGGGCCUGCGGUUUCGCAGCCUCUAAACCCAGUGGCGGUGCUAUUGAGCUCUGAGCGUAGUAAUUUCUCUCGCUAUAGAGUCUCGGUGGUGACUUGCCAACAACCCCCAAUUUUUAUCAGGUUGACCUCGGAUCAGGUAGGGAUACCCGCUGAACUUAA